AGGACGAACGCUAGCGGCGUGCUUAACACAUGCAAGUCGAGCGGUAAGGCCUUUCGGGGUACACGAGCGGCGAACGGGUGAGUAACACGUGGGUGAUCUGCCCUGCACUCUGGGAUAAGCCUGGGAAACGUGGGUCUAAUACCGGAUAUGACCUGCUCUCGCGAUGGGGGGUGGGUGGAAAGAUUUAUCGGUGCAGGAUGGGCCCGCGGCCUAUCAGCUUGUUGGUGGGUAAUGGCCUACCAAAGCGAACGACGGGUA
rnacentral:rRNA from 1 species